rnacentral:rRNA from 1 species
AUAGUGGCGAACGGGUGCGUAACGCGUAGGAAUCUACCCAGUAGCGGGGGACAACUCGGGGAAACUCGGGCUAAUACCGCAUACGCCCUACGGGGGAAAGGGGGCUUCGGCUCUCACUAUUGGAUGAGCCUGCGUCAGAUUAGCUUGUUGGUAGGGUAAUGGCCUACCAAGGCGACGAUCUGUAGCUGGUCUGAGAGGAUGAUCAGCCACACUGGGACUGAGGCACGGCCCAG